GAUGAACGCUGGCGGCGUGCCUAAUACAUGCAAGUCGAGCGAACAGACGAGGAGCUUGCUCCUCUGACGUUAGCGGCGGACGGGUGAGUAACACGUGGAUAACCUACCUAUAAGACUGGGAUAACUUCGGGAAACCGGAGCUAAUACCGGAUAAUAUAUUGAACCGCAUGGUUCAAUAGUGAAAGACGGUUUUGCUGUCACUUAUAGAUGGAUCCGCGCCGCAUUAGCUAGUUGGUAAGGUAACGGCUUACCAAGGCAACGAUGCGUAGCCGACCUGAGAGGGUGAUCGGCCACACUGGAACUGAGACACGGUCCAGACUCCUACGAGAGGCAGCAGUAGGGAAUCUUCCGCAAUGGGCGAAAGCCUGACGGAGCAACGCAGCGUGAGUGAUGAAGGUCUUCGGAUCGUAAAACUCUGUUAUUAGGGAAGAACAAAUGUGUAAGUAACUAUGCACGUCUUGACGGUACCUAAUCAGAAAGCCACGGCUAACUACGUG
rnacentral:rRNA from 1 species